rnacentral:rRNA from 1 species
AGUGAACGCUGGCGGUAGGCCUAACACAUGCAAGUCGAACGGCAGCACAGUAAGAGCUUGCUCUUACGGGUGGCGAGUGGCGGACGGGUGAGGAAUACAUCGGAAUCUACUUUUUCGUGGGGGAUAACGUAGGGAAACUUACGCUAAUACCGCAUACGACCUACGGGUGAAAGCAGGGGAUCUUCGGACCUUGCGCGAUUGAAUGAGCCGAUGUCGGAUUAGCUAGUUGGCGGGGUAAAGGCCCACCAAGGCGACGAUCCGUAGCUGGUCUGAGAGGAUGAUCAGUCACACUGGAACUGAGACACGGUCCAGACUCCUACGGGAGGCAGCAGUGGGGAAUAUUGGACAAUGGGCGCAAGCCUGAUCCAGCCAUACCGCGUGGGUGAAGAAGGCCUUCGGGUUGUAAAGCCCUUUUGUUGGGAAAGAAAAGCAGCAGGUUAAUACCCCACUGUUCUGACGGUACCCAAAGAAUAAGCACCGGCUAACUUCGUG